GAGAGUUUGAUCCUGGCUCAGGAUGAACGCUGGCGGCGUGCCUAAUACAUGCAAGUCGAGCGAACGGACGAGAAGCUUGCUUCUCUGAUGUUAGCGGCGGACGGGUGAGUAACACGUGGAUAACCUACCUAUAAGACUGGGAUAACUUCGGGAAACCGGAGCUAAUACCGGAUAAUAUUUUGAACCGCAUGGUUCAAAAGUGAAAGACGGUCUUGCUGUCACUUAUAGAUGGAUCCGCGCUGCAUUAGCUAGUUGGUAAGGUAACGGCUUACCAAGGCAACGAUGCAUAGCCGACCUGAGAGGGUGAUCGGCCACACUGGAACUGAGACACGGUCCAGACUCCUACGGGAGGCAGCAGUAGGGAAUCUUCCGCAAUGGGCGAAAGCCUGACGGAGCAACGCCGCGUGAGUGAUGAAGGUCUUCGGAUCGUAAAACUCUGUUAUUAGGGAAGAACAUAUGUGUAAGUAACUGUGCACAUCUUGACGGUACCUAAUCAGAAAGCCACGGCUAACUACGUGCCAGCAGCCGCGGUAAUACGUAGGUGGCAAGCGUUAUCCGGAAUUAUUGGGCGUAAAGCGCGCGUAGGCGGUUUUUUAAGUCUGAUGUGAAAGCCCACGGCUCAACCGUGGAGGGUCAUUGGAAACUGGAAAACUUGAGUGCAGAAGAGGAAAGUGGAAUUCCAUGUGUAGCGGUGAAAUGCGCAGAGAUAUGGAGGAACACCAGUGGCGAAGGCGACUUUCUGGUCUGUAACUGACGCUGAUGUGCGAAAGCGUGGGGAUCAAACAGGAUUAGAUACCCUGGUAGUCCACGCCGUAAACGAUGAGUGCUAAGUGUUAGGGGGUUUCCGCCCCUUAGUGCUGCAGCUAACGCAUUAAGCACUCCGCCUGGGGAGUACGACCGCAAGGUUGAAACUCAAAGGAAUUGACGGGGACCCGCACAAGCGGUGGAGCAUGUGGUUUAAUUCGAAGCAACGCGAAGAACCUUACCAAAUCUUGACAUCCUUUGACAACUCUAGAGAUAGAGCUUUCCCCUUCGGGGGACAAAGUGACAGGUGGUGCAUGGUUGUCGUCAGCUCGUGUCGUGAGAUGUUGGGUUAAGUCCCGCAACGAGCGCAACCCUUAAGCUUAGUUGCCAUCAUUAAGUUGGGCACUCUAAGUUGACUGCCGGUGACAAACCGGAGGAAGGUGGGGAUGACGUCAAAUCAUCAUGCCCCUUAUGAUUUGGGCUACACACGUGCUACAAUGGACAAUACAAAGGGCAGCGAAACCGCGAGGUCAAGCAAAUCCCAUAAAGUUGUUCUCAGUUCGGAUUGUAGUCUG
rnacentral:rRNA from 1 species